rnacentral:tRNA from 1 species
GCGGGUGUAGCUCAAUUGGUUAGAGCACUCCCCUGUCACGGGAGAGGCUGCGGGUUCGAGCCCCGUCACUCGCGCUA